CAGUCGCCGCGGUAAAACGUAGGGAGCAAGCGUUGUUCGGAUUUACUGGGCGUAAAGGGCGCGUAGGCGGCGCGGUAAGUCACUUGUGAAAUCUCUGAGCUUAGCUCAGAACGGCCAAGUGAUACUGCUGUGCUAGAGUGCGGAAGAGGCAACCGGAACUCUUGGUGUAGCGGUGAAAUGCGUAGAUAUCAAGAGGAACACCUGAGGCGAAGGCGGGUUGCUGGGCCGACACUGACGCUGAUGCGCGAAAGCCAGGGGAGCAAACGGGAUUAGAUACCCCAGUAGUCCCUGUCUCUUAUAA
rnacentral:rRNA from 1 species